rnacentral:rRNA from 1 species
GAGUUUGAUCAUGGCUCAGAGCGAACGCUGGCGGCAGGCCUAACACAUGCAAGUCGAACGAGCCUUCGGGCUAGUGGCGGACGGGUGAGUAACACGUGGGAACGUACCUUUAGGUUCGGAAUAACUCAGGGAAACUUGAGCUAAUACCGAAUGUGCCCUUCGGGGAAAGAUUUAUCGCCUUUAGAGCGGCCCGCGUUAGAUUAGCUAGUUGGUGGGGUAAAGGCCCACCAAGGCUACGAUCUAUAGCUGGUCUGAGAGGAUGAUCAGCCACAUUGGGACUGAGACACGGCCCAAACUCCUACGGGAGGCAGCAGUGGGGAAUCUUGCGCAAUGGUCGAAAGACUGACGCAGCCAUGCCGCGUGAAUGAUGAAGGUCUUAGGAUUGUAAAAUUCUUUCAGCAGGGACGAUAAUGACGGUACCUGCAGAAGAAGCCCCGG